GCAGCAGGUGCGGCCCUAAAAAGCAAAAAAUAUAUAUAAUAAUAAUAAUUAGAAGAUGCCAGUGAUGUCACAGGAAGAACAAUAUCAGUAUCAGUUACCCUGCCCUGGACCCUCAGCCCAAAACAACGCGGAUGUAGGGGACCCCAGGAGGGAUGAGCCCGGAACAAGGUAAGUCUGGGAGGCUGUCAUCAGGAAAGGACUGACAUGGCCUUUUUGCAGACAUCUGUCGGCUGGGAGGGCAUCUGUCGGCUGGGAGGGCAUCCAAGCUGAGGGGUUUGGAGUGAGUUUGGAGUCUGUCUUCCCUAGAAGCUCGGUUACCACAAAAACCAUCCGUCCCUCCCUGGAGGGAAAAUGGAUGGAAUGGCAGGAAGCAGCUGGGGAUGGCACGGUCCCCUGAGCUGGCCGCAGUGCGUCUCCUCUCCACGGCGAUGCCCGCUUGCAGGGGCCUGGCUCAGACCAAGCCAGCCUGCACCGGGGUCCUGCCCUCUGUUUACACCGUGUCUGUCCCAGUCCCUCCCCGCUUCUCCAGCAUAUGCGUGGCAGGGCAGGUGUCCAGGUCACGGCACCCCAGCGCCCAGCCACCCUUGCUCAGAGCCUGGGCUGGGUCCCUGCGCUCCAGUGAGGGGUCAGGCUCAUUUCCUGCGGCCCCAGAAAUUUCACUGGAACCUCAGAAGCAGCACAGGCUCCUUUCUGGUGACACAGACCCCAUUCCUUUGCUUGGGCUUCCUCGGAUCAUUUUUUCUUAACGGCAAUGAGGCCACCGUGACAGUCCCUGGACUGAGAUUGAGUUUGGGGUCUGUCUUCCCUGGAAGCUCGGUCACCAUAAAAACCAUCCGUCCCUCCCUGGAGGGAAAAUGGAUGGAAUGGUGGGAAGCAGCUGGAGACAGUCCCCUGAGCUGGCCGCAGUGCGUCUGCUCUCCAGGGCGAUGCCCGCUUCCUGCUUCUGUCAUGAGCAGGGCACACCCGGCUGUUCAAAAGAGUUUACAGAUGACACAAAAGACACAAUUCAUGUGAAAGAAACCCAAAGGCAUAGUGUCACCAUCCGUUGCCAUUCAUGGGGUGAGCACAGAAGUACCCUGGUGGCUCAGCUGGUUAAGGAUCCGGUGUUGUCCCUGCUGUGACUCAGGUUUGAUCCCUGGCCAAGGAGCUUCUGCAUGUGGCAGGUGCAGUAGCCAAAAAAGGAGGGGGGUGAGGCCAUUGUUAUGGUCACUAUACAUCCUGUGUCCUGAAAGCCGAGGCUGCUGGGGUGGGACCAGGACCCGAGCACGGCCUUCUCUGGAGCGUGGUCCUGGGCUGGUCCACGUGGCCCUCGUGUCAGGUCAGUGCCGUUUGCAGAAUGAAUCCGAGGCAUGGCAUCCGCCCGAAAGCUAAGCAUCCGGUCAGAAUAUGUGAAGAGCAGAAAUUCCUUGCCCUUUUAAAAUUAUGAAAAUGGCCGUCUCCAGCCUUCAGGCAAGUUAAUUUGAAUUGUAAAGUGUCAGGAGUGCUGAGCCAGAAAGAUGGUGGAAUCAGCUGCGAAGAGGUUUUUCCUAAACCCUGAAUGUGGAUGGAGGCUGUAUGAAAAAGCAUACAAACUCUGAUAUAAAUUAUCUCCAGAAAGAUAUUUAAGUUGAAUGGCAACCGUGCGAGGUAUUCUCUUUGGAAAAAUCUAGGUUACAGCUAAUAAGAAACGCUCUCUCAGGAUGGGGUCACGUUAAUCAAAUUGAGGUGACAUUUCACCGUCGGCUUUAUCUGUUAUUUUUAUGAUGGUGAAUGAGACUAAGCAUUCAGAUAGUCAUCAGGGCAUAUGGCAGAAUUUAAAAAUUGUUAUAAAGGAGGUUUCUAAUGAAAUAAUGGACAGGUCACUUUUUUACCUAACUGGCUGUGUACAUACGGGUUGGGAGAAUGCCAGGCCGGCCCCACACUUCUGGCCCCAAGGGGACCGUGGGCUCUAUCCGAGUCCUGUGUCUCAGGGAGCCUUAUUCCCAGGGACAGUGGACCGGCUCACCUGACAGUCAGCAAGUAUCUAUGGAGUCCCGCCCGUGUGCCAGGCAGUACUUAAGGUCCCGGGGAAGUUGGCAGUGGCCUCACUCAGCUUUAGGUCUGGUGGGAGGUAGAAAUAGAUAAAUACGGUGUCUUGGAAACUGGUUCCGAGGGCCCCGCAGAUGCUGGGAGCUGAGUGGAGCAGCGCCUUGGUCGGGCUCAGAGGGUCCGAGGAGAACGUUUCUGGAAGCUGAGACUCCAAGGAUGAGCUGAACCUCUCCAGGCAGAGGGAGCAGCGUGAGCCAACACAGCACCCCUGCCAACAGCCUACUCCCCACCGAAUGCACUUCACAAAUUCGUGGAUUCAGACCCCUUGGCCUGGGUUUCUGGGUAACGGUUAAAUAAGUUCUCUUGAAACCCUUUUAAGGAACCAUCUAGAAAGUAGGGACGUUUCUGAACAACGUCAAGUAGGGACAAACUGAGUUGAUCCUAAAAAAUAAUUUGCAGAGAUGCAGAGCUGGUCACCCCCAAAGCUUCUACCUGCUUCCUUCUUUUCCUUCUUGAAGUAGUUGUAGUAUCGUGACUUAUAGGGGAGUCAGGAACUGAGCUGGCGCGGGGUGGGGGUGGGGGGUCCUGGGGUCGGAGCAGGAAGGACCCGCCGCUGGGAAGAGAGCAGACUGGGGCUCGGGGACUGCAGACCAUCUGAGGGCACAGAUCCGCUCUAACCGCGUCAUGCCAAACCCUUUCGAGCCACUACGUGCAAUUACACGGAAGAGGCCAGGAGGGUGGCACAAGCACCCGGACUGACGAGCAGUGAGUGACACAUCACAGGAGAGGAACGCAGUGGCCACAAUCCAUUAGGGAUGUAGAAUCUGAUUGGAUGGGGGGAAUAAUGUCACCACGGGAUGUACUGCUCUCUGCCUGCGACUGGCAUUCAUUGAGGACUUACUCUUUGCCGCCCAGGAGAGGCUGAACGCUGGGGACGUAAAGACAAAUGAGACCCGGCCCUGGACCUCAGUGCCGCCGAAAUCCCUGCAAACAGCUCGGGGAGCAAACACCUCUGGGCCGUGUGGCGGUUUUCUUCCUCCCGUGGCCUCUUUCAUUUGCCUAGAAAUCCUCUUGCAUGUCAUGUCCUUUUAUGGGUCCUUAGAGAACCUCCUGGCCUUUUUGGAUCCUGAGUUUCUCAGCAGGGCCCGUGGGCCACCUGUUGAUAAACGCUCAGGGUCCUAAACUCAUUCAUUCCUUCAUUUGAUGAAAGCAGGAAGGAAGACCUAAUACUCUGGCCGCAGCGGGAGGCCCUGAGCAGAAAGGCUCACGGGGUCCCUGCCCACGUGGGGCUUCGCGUCUCUGGAGCAAGGACUUUCACGAAGUCAGGUCACGCGUGUAACGUCCGACUGUGACACACGCUCGAAGCAGAGGGGCACCACCCCUGAGAGUGUGGCCGGAGUGUGGCCUCUGACCAGGCAGGCGGCUCAGGAAAGGCUGCCCCGGGGAGCGGGGCUGGCAGAGGCCUGAGGACAGAUGUGCGUUGGUUGUGAGGGGAGGGCCUUCCCAGGAGGGUGGCGUGUGCAGAAGGCUCAGGACGAGGACGGAAGGGACCUGGGUGUUUCAGGAGAGGAGGGGGAGCGUAGCGGGAUGGAGCUCAGAGAGUGAGGCGGGUCAUGGGGCAACAUGAAGCCAGGAUGCGGGCCGGGAAACACUUCCAGGAUCGGAGCUUUGCGCUCUGAGCAAUGGGGAGCCACCGAAGAGGAUUUAACGGGAAGGCGCACAGGGCUGGGAGCGGAUCACAUCGGAGCUUGAAAACGUCUCUCUGGCAGUGGUGUGAGAAGGCUGUAGGCGCCGCAUGGUGCCAGGCAGCAAGGGAGCUGUUGGAAGCAGUUCAGGCAACACACUGGAGAUGGGGCCUGGGUGCCUGGGCCUGGGCCAGGACUGGGGUGCCUGCGCCCCCAGAGCCGCUGUGGCCUCCAGGCUCAGGCAGGGUGCCGAGCUGCCUUGCGGAAUCCAGGCCACCUCGUGGCUGUUGACGGGUCAGGGCUCUGGCUGGGACCAGGCGGGUGUGUGGCAUCAGGUGUGCGCGCGGCGCGGUGGAACUGGCGCGUUCCCAGGUCUGUUCUGUAGACUCUCCCUCCCAACCCCGUCCCUCUGCGGCAGGAGCUGGGGUUCACUUACCCUCGUCCCUGCCCACCCCCACGCACGAGGUGACACGCUGAUGUCCUCUGACAGGACGGGGGCUGCUGCAGCCCAUCCCUCACACCCAGGUGUCCCCCACGCUUCCGGUGUCGGAUGGAACCUGCCGCAGCGCAGGUGCGCGUGUCUAAAGGCGUCUCUUCCCCACAGUGAAUGGCCUUGGGGGGCGUUUUCCCCUCACCGCUUUGGAACAAGGCUUUUAGAACUGUGUUCGGAAGAUGAGUGUGCAGGCUUGAGAAGCAAAAGAAGGCGUAAGGCUUUUUGCAGCCACAGUAGGUGGUAAAUAGGCCUGUAUUCACAAACACAACAUCCACCGCAACCCUGCCGCUGGGAGAAAUGCUUUUUAGCGGCUGCCCCUCGCCUUCUUGCCCUUAUGGCCUCUGCAUAUCUGAGUUUGUUAAAACCGGAGAGCUGCCCCCCGCCGCCCCCCAGGGGAAGAGCGGGAGGUUCACAGACGUCAUGAUAUAAGAGAAUGAUACGCUCACGUAUUUUUUUUUCUGAUGGAAGAACGUGCUGGCUGUGCUUAGAGUCCAUAUUAUGCUGUUAUUGUCGCCUUUGUCCUCCGUGUUCAGACUUUAAUUCGGGAGCAAGAUGUCCAUGCUUGGACGUGCUUGGGGUGCAAAGAGAAGCCACCAGCCCAGGUCUCCGAGUCCUGUCAUUCCCAUAAUCACGUGCACCUCUCUGGCGGUGACCUCUGCCCCCUUGGAGGAAAUGUACAUUACACAGGGGGUUGAAUCACAGCCAGUCCAAGACCCCCGAGCACCCCGCGGCCCCGAGCUCCACCGGGAUUGGCCGCCCCGCCCCCAUGCCCACGCGCCCCCGUGGUCUUUCCCCUCAGAGCCCUGCUGGGGAGCCCCAACACCCAAGGGGAUCCUUGGCUUCCCCGAGCAAUUAAUUAAAUGGGCUCCAGGUCAUCGCAAACCCCCCAGACGUUGAAAACCGCAGGCCUUGCCCUCCCCCGGGGGAAUCCGAGACUUCUCCCGGCACCUGCUUGGCCGGUGUCAGAGGGGCACGGGUUCACAAGGCGCAGAGGGUCCCGCCUGCCCACGGAGCUGGUUCACCGACCCCCAGGUGACUGGGAGGCUGGCGCAGCAGGCACUUAGCCGACGGUGCGGGGCUGGUCCAGGGGCCGCCGGCAGCUUUGUCCCUCCUCGGCAGGAGCCGUAUCUGUGGAGUGCUGCCCGAGGUGGUAGGGCCUCUGCCACCACGAGGUACACACGAGCUGCCGAGAACAUCGACCUGAAAACUGGUGCUCCUGGACCUCUGCCCUGGACCUGCGGCUGUCUAGGCCGGGCUGCCGCCACCUUGACCUUCCACAUUCCUCAAGCCUGCCCAGCCCCAGGGCAUAGCCAGUACCCUCCUUGUGGCAGGAGCCUCCCGGCUCCUCUGCUCUGCUUUGGUCCGGGCUCCUGUCGGCCAGGAGCACUGAGCAGGGGGCCUUGCCCUGGCAGGCUGCACUCCGCAUAGUUUUUGAGCAAGUCACGCUUCCACACCAGUGAUUAAUUUUCCACCAAGCAGUGUGAAUAGUUUUCUAAAGAAGUACAAUAGGAUGAGGCAUAAAUCUGUCAUACAAGAUUGAUUUUACUCUGGAUUUAAAAAAAAAAAAACUCAUAGAUUUAUAUCUUUGCUGCGGUAGCAAAUCUAUUACCAGAAUGGGCUUCCGUCUGUUAGAAAAUGUAUAGCGGGCAUUGUGCCAGCUGUUUUAUUCUGUCUCAUUUUAAUUAUUCCAUGAAGUGGGUAUUAACUCUCCUACUCACAGAU
rnacentral:lncRNA from 1 species